UAAAAGUCAAACGUUUUAUAGCAAGCAUACACGGAGAGAUAUGAAAAAACUAGUUAGAGUACUAAUUAUUACAUCUACCACAUUUAAGACUUUUAAUCCUUGCUAAUCAUAUUCGUUUAUACUUGCCCAUGCAUUUUAAAGAAUUAUUAUUGGCGGUGCAUUUGCGUUGACAGAUGCUACACUUUGGACUUGGUUGUUUUUGUCUGUUGCAGUUUUAUUUUAUUUUCGCUCUCAGUCAGGAGCAUAUUUGAGAUGUCUCCCAAGUUCGCGGAAUUUAGUGGAUUUUCAAGUAUAUAGUGGCGCUCAUAAGCUUUAGCUGAAAACCUGCUGCUAUUAUGUACACUGUGUAUGUACUUUCGGAACUGAAUGCUGCUAUUAUUGUCGCGAAAAGUUCUUUCCCCCCCGAUCGAGAAUAUCAGGCUCCACAUGUGCGGACAAAUGGUUUCCUCCAUUACCCAGCAUCGGGGCGAGCCAAGUGAUUCUUGAAUCAGCGAGGAAGAUCGCAGGAAGUUGAUGAGUUCAUCUUGUGGCAGCAGUAUUAGCGAUACAAUUUGUUUUUACCGAAGGUGUCUUAGCAUAACGCGAUAGAUGAUAACAAUGAUCAUGUGACUUAUUUUAAUAAACCGAUAUUUAUCAUUUUGUUUCAUUUCUUUA
rnacentral:lncRNA from 1 species